CUCCCUUGCUAAAUAGUGGCUGACUUUUCAGUAUAAGCAUUUUUAAAUUACGUGCAGUUGUACACGUUUUUGUUGUACAAAAUUAAAUUCAAAAAACAAACGGACAUACUUCGCGCGAUGGAUGGGCCAUCUGUUGUAUAUAAGAAGUUGGGAUAGUAGAGGAGAAAUUUAAUGUACAUCUGUACUCAAAGAUUAAUCAUUACUAACAAAAAAUGAUUUUGAGCGGAAUUCAAAUAUAUAUGUUUUGAAAGGCUG